rnacentral:rRNA from 1 species
GACGAACGCUGGCGGCGUGCUUAACACAUGCAAGUCGAACGGAAAGUCCCUGCUUUUGUGGGGUGCUCGAGUGGCGAACGGGUGAGUAACACGUGAGUAACCUGCCCUUGACUUUGGGAUAACUUCCGGAAACUGGGGCUAACACCGGAUAAGAGCUCCUGCUGCCUGGUGGGGGUUGGAAAGUUUCGGCGGUUGGGGGUGGACUCGCGGCUUAUCAGCUUGUUUGUGGGGGAGUGGCUUACCAAGGCUUUGACGGGUAGCCGGCCUGAGAGGGUGACCGGCGACAUUGGGACUGAGAUACGGCCCAGACUCCUACGGGAGGCAGCAGUGGGGAAUAUUGCACAAUGGGCGGAAGCCUGAUGCAGCAAAGCCGCGUGCGGGAUGACGGCCUUCGGGUUGUAAACCGAUUUCGCCUGUGACGAAGCGUGAGUGACGGUAAUGGGUAAAGAAGCACCGGCUAACUACGUG